rnacentral:rRNA from 1 species
AAGGGCACCACAAGAACGCGUAGAGCAAGUGGCUUAAUUUGACCCAACGCGGGAAAUCUUACCAGGUCCGAACACGCUGAGGAUUGACAGGUUUUUAUAAGACUAUAUAUAAUAAAUUUUUUUAUUAUAUAUAGCAAUUCUUAUAUCAAAUAUGCUAGUCCUUUCAUGAUUGCGUGAUAGGUGGUGCAUGGCCGUUCUUAGUUCGUGGAGUGAUCUGUCUGCUUAAUUGCGUUUCACUUUAACGAGUAUAUAUUGAAUACUUUGUUUGCACACAAGGUUGCUGCAUUGUUUUUUAACUUUGCACCCUUGUUGUUGCACGGUAUUCUUUUAAAUAUACUCUGAAGGCAACGAACGUGACCG